rnacentral:lncRNA from 1 species
CUAAAAAUCAAUUAGCAAAACUAAGGAUACACUUGACAUGGGUCUAUACCAGUUUGCUAACUUGACAUGACAUAAAUCUUGAACAUCAUUAUCUAAUACAAAUGCAAUAUAGAUUAACAUUUGGAACCCCUUUUUGGGAAACUUGGAACAAGUAAUCCCAAUGAAAAUGAUAUAUUACAAUGCAAAUUAAUAAACAUUAUACGCUCAUUUUAGAGCUUAACUGAAGUUUGCUCUAAAUCAAGAAUCGACGGCCCAUUGCCUCAGUUUAAUACACAAACUCGAACUGAACUUGCUUGCUCUUAAUGAAUGGUGAGCUGGGUAAAUGUAUACCUGCAAAAACAUAAUGACAUGGCCAGUAAGAGUGGUAAAUUGGAAAACUAAAGAAGACUUUUUUCUUUUCAUGGAUUAGCAAUCAAUUUGCACGUACGUAAGAAAAACAAUGACCAAAAGAAUUAAUAAUAGCUUACCAUAAUGAAAUGACCACAAACUGGAAAACAUGGAGACUUCAUCUCCUCCUCUUCUUGCUUCUUCCCAAUUGUCCCCAUUUAAAUACAUGCUCUAGUUCUUGGAGAAAAGCUUUAGCUUGUCCAUAUUUUUAAGCUCUUUCUUCUACCAGUCGUGCCUUGUCCUUUUCUUUAACCUCCAACAAGAAGUAAUGAUCUUUCCACAAUCCACGGGCAGCACCUUUAGCUUCCUAUCUUGAAAGCUUGUUCAAUUUUUU